CAGACGCCAUCCUGGUGGAUAAAGGCUACAAGGUUCCUGCUGGCAGGACGGGAGGCAAGGCCCCUGGCCGGUCGCGUAGACCCUGACUGCUGGCUGUGUGACCUCAGGCUGGUCCCCAAACCUCUCUGGGCAGUGUGUUCUUUGGACCCCGUGCGGGGCCAGCCUCCAGGGAGCGCCUGAGCCAAUCCGGUCCCGGUCCAGGGGACUGGCCCGGCUGGUGCUGCCGUGGGGUCUGAGCACAUGGCCUGGAAGUCACACGGGGCCCUCUCGACAAGGUCAAGCCAUUCUGCGAUCCGAUAGGCAAAGGCACCUGUUUCUUUCUGCCGGGAGUUCCUGCUCUCACCGCCCAUCCUUGACUCGGCCUGGGUGCGGGGCUGGCGCUGGGAUGCUGGGCUCCGUCCCCGGGUCACGGCCCAGCCCUGGCCUGGCUUUGCCAGCGGGCAGCUGGCUGAUCUCUGGCCGGCCGCCCCCGGGAGGGAAACACGCGGAACGUAUGUUUGUGAGGGCAGGUGGGACAGCCCAGGGGUCCCCGGCUGUGCCUGGCUGUCCCCCCUCCCCCAAAACGGCCAGGGGGGCCGUCAGCACGAGAAGGACGUGUCCUUCAGAAAGACAGGUUACCCCCAAACCUGUGAGUGCCCUGAUUUGGAAGUAGGGUCUUUGCAGAUGUCUGGGGGAAUGGGGUCGUGCUGGAUUAGGGUGGGCCUCGAUCCAGUGACCGGGGUCCUCGUGAGAAGAGUGGAACUUAGACACACCGGGAGGAGGGCAAGUAACACUGGAGGUGGAGGUGGAGGUUGCAGCGACAGGUCGGUAAGCCCAGGGACGCCAAGACUGCUGGGGGCGCCCGAAGCCGGGGCAGCGAGCAAGCGUCCCUGAGAGAGAGGGCCACCUGCCCGCGCCUUGACCUUAGACCCCCCGCCUCCAGAACUGCGCCUCCGCUGGGCUAAGCUCCCAGCUGGUGGCCCUUUGUUACAACAGCCCCGGGACCUGCCCGCGCCCACUGCCGCUGUCACCCUCCGGUCACCGCUCAGACGGACGCGAGAGAACGUGCUGGUCUCCUCCCAUCUGAACACGUCCAAGGGCAAGGCUGGCCUCUGUCCACAGCUUACGGGCUUCCUCCAUUGUUGGGGGCUAAGCUGCUCUUUUCUGAAGGGAAGGCGGCCGGCGACACCCCGUUUCCCAGAUGGAAAAACCAAGGCUCUCGGGGGGCUCCCCACGCCCACGCCAUCGCUCAGCUCUCCACAACCGCGUCUCCUGCUGCCCGCCCGGGUCAGCCUCCUUCCCGCCCAGAUGUUGGACCGAGUCCUCGGAGUUCCCGGCAGAGGGGAGAGGUCAAGAAAUUUCCGAGCUCAAAUGAGGACAGCCGCCUGGCUCUGUGACCUGCUUCGUGGAGAGCCUGGGAGGCGACUGUGGGGCAGCGAGCUGGUCGGUGACUCCAGCCCGGGCAGCGCGACCCGUUUCCCUGAGCUCACACCGCCCUCGGCCCUGUCGAAAGAGAAGCGGGCUCCGUCCAGGCCUGAGGUUGUGGCCGCUGGACGCCUGGAGCCCGACUGGUCAGCCCAGCCCAAGCCGCACCGCCACUGAGAGCCACCAGAAGCCACAGGAGCCUCCCCACCCAGCGCUCCCUCCCCUGGGCUGGCCGCCCGCACAGGGACCCGGCCACCAAGGUGACGUAAGCGGCAGAAAUUGGUGCUCCUGGAGUUCUGUGAGCUGCUUCCGGAUGACCAGUGAAAGGCACAUGUCUGAGACAGAAGGGGUGCGCGAGCCUGAGCAGAGGAGAUCGGGUUCCAUCCGAGGAGGCACAGACCCUCUUCAGCAGAUGAAAGACUGAAUCAGAACCCGCAGUCUGGCUUAUGGCGCCUGUCAGCCGAGACGACCGUGGGAUACAGGGAAGGAAAGCUCAAAAACAGAAUCAGUGAGCGCACGCGCUUCGGUCUGAGAUGCCGUCAGAUGAUGCGCGAUGCCACGGCCGCCGCGUAAAGUGCGGCGAUGUGACUGUCCCUCGGGCAGGACCGGAAGUCACUUCCCACGAAAAGUGGCAUCUGCAUUCACAUGAACUCGAAACACCUUCUCAUGCUUUCUGAACCGGUCAGCCGCCUGAGUCUUUCCUGGCUUUACACAGAACACGCCGGAGGCGAGGCUUACUCGUCAGGCCUUCCCGACUCAAGGGCGCUGCCUGUCCCCGAAGGGCGCCAGCGUGUUCUGCUGACACCCUUCCCUGUCACCGCGCUCUCACGGGCAGGGCUGACGUGACCGGGGUGGCCCAGAGUUUCCCCAUCAGCUGCAGCCGGGCAACCCUCACGGGACGCUAUCAAGAAGGACUUUCUCUCACGUCUGCGAGGCUGUGUCACGCGCCCGGGUCUGCCGGCCUCGCCACGGGUGCUCACGUACACACACCUGCCAAGUGCGGCCCUGAGACGGGAUCGUUGCCGGCCGUGGGGAGGGCCCCGCGGUGGGAGGGCAGUGGCGGGGGUGCCCCACGUGCUGGCCAAGGUGAAAUACGGCAAGAGGCAGAGCGCCAGCGAGGCCCGGGCAGCGGUCACCGGGGGCUGUGCAGUGACCACACGUCCGCGGGACGGGACUCCAGGAGCCACAGCGGGGCGCACGAAGAAAGGGGACCCGCUGGCGUGGAGGAGGCUCGUAACGGUGGCGAGGUGGGAACGAGGUCCCCUCUCCCACCGGUUGGCGCCACGGAGCCUGCACCUCGAGCAGAAAGGCACGCUGGGAAGUGCAGGCCGGGGCCGCGGAGGGAGCGCAGAGCCGAGGAGACGCGAGGCGGCAGUGGGCAGUGACGGGGACACAGUGGCGGGGACGGCGAGGGACUGGGCACAAGAGCCGAAGCUGCGUGGGGCAAGGGCUGACCUAAUACCCGUGCACCAGCAGGAGGAGCCCAGCCCUCCCUGCUCCUCAGUUCACCUCCCAACACACAAGCACUUGUCCCUUGGCCAUCCUAGCACUGGGAAGCUGUUCGGGUCAGGACCCUAGUGUUUCCUAACACUACAAUUUUCUCCUUAAGCAAGAUUUAAAAGUGAAAGGUUCAACACAUUUUGGCUUUGAAAUUUUAAGUCAGGAUGUUAAUUUUAGGGGAUUUACAUACCACAAUCUGGAGUCUUUAAUCAGGUUUCCUCCACACAUCCGGUAGUCACAACGCUAUAUGGAUCGUACAAACCCCGCAACGUACACGCUCCCAGUGACAGUUCAGUGUCACGUGUUUCCAUAGUAGGAGGCAAGGGACCCAGUUUUAAAACUCCACACACCUUCAUUUUUAUGAGACAGACAUGUACCCUUCCCCAGUAAAAACUGUGACCCACUGCCGUACCGUUCUGAAAAGCAGACACCCCAACAACCGCCCCUCUUUUCCAAGAGAUCCCUCAGGACUGUUUCCUGACAGAAGGACAGCCACACGGCCCUCACGCGGGGCUUAACGGCUGGGGGCCCCCGCUGGUGUUUAGGGCGUCUUUCUUCUGGUUCCUGGCCCAGAACCCCGGGGAGGCGACAACACGCUCGGGGCCUCGGGAGGCCCUACACUGAUUCUGCGUCCCUGUCCCUCUCCCGUAUCUUUCCAUCUCAUCCCAACUCCCUGUCAUGCGUUCUGGAUCCCCAAGACCUAGCCAAGGGGCAACUGAGAACGGGGCUUUCCCCUAGACCUACCUACUCAUUUAUGGAUCUCCCAGGGCGCAGGGAGCAUGUGAAAACAGGCACAGGGGUGCAAGCUGGGAACUCCAGAGUGCAGUGAAAGCCUCAAGACAAAGGCCCGGGUGAUGAAAACGUCCUAAAACUGACUAUGGUGGGGGUUUCACAGCUCCGGAUAAGACCCACUUAACUAUGCACUUUAAAAACGUACAUUUUAUGGUAUACGGAUUAAAUUCGAAUUAAAAAGCUGACAUCCAAGGCCCCAAACUCCUCCUUGACCUUGGAAGGCCCUCCCUCUGAACACUGUAUCCAACGUUCUCUGUAGUGACCCGACCAGGAAAACGAAUGUGUCCGUGCAGGACGGACGCAGCGUCCUGCCCACACCUCUCUACCACCUCUCCUCGGCUCCCCCCAGCCUCGUUGGGGCUUCCUCCAAGGGUGGAGACCUUUUUCUGUAGAAGGAGGGGGGCCGGGAUAGGAGCUGGACCGCAGGGCCCAGGAGCAGGGUUGCACUCCCAGAGGGAGGCUGUGCUGAGUCUCUGACGGACAUCAGAGUGGGCUGCGGUCAGAGACUGUGAGGUGAGGCUACAAAGCCACUGGGAGGCCAUGCAUCUGAGUUCGUCCCACAGCGCCGCUCCCGGCUGCCCACCCGGCCGGGUCUAUAAAUGCUGUCCUCUGCCCAAGACCCCCACUAGGCAAGAGACCGAGUGAACAGAGCAGGGAAAAGCCCCGGGAUCUGAGCUCAGACAGCAAGAGUCACAUCAGCGUCCACGUAAACCACGCUCUGUGGACUGAUCAGUAUCGCUUCAGCCUCAAACUCCUCAUCUCAUUUAUAAAAAAAUCUGUACAAGACAUUAACUUCUCAGUCUUUUCUUUGGACAGCGCCACCAACAGACACGAGCCCUGAAGACUGUAAUUCACAAAUCAGGAGCCCCCGCCCCCGAGGUUUAAAACCACUGUUUGAAUGCUCUCGAAAGAACCUGUUUUCAAAUGAAGCUCCACAGGGACCACAAGCUCCCGGCCGUGCAUGCCGAUGGCCGGAACGUCUCCGCCGAGCCUGCGGGCCCUCCUGCCCCACACAGCGGCCCUCUGCGUCCCCUCCGGGCUCUGCAGCAAGCCUGGAUCCAGGGUCUGCAGGGGACUCCUGGCUGAGCUGUAAGGGCCUCAACCGCUCUGCUUACCUAGAGGAGGUCUCACACCUCAGAGAAAGAACCUCAACCCAACGCACAGGUUCUGAAUCCAGCGGCCUUUGGGACGUCGGGGACCGAUGGCAGUUCACGGCGUCAGGUCUUUAUUCUGAGGGAAAUCGCUCCCACACGGAGCCCAAUACAGCACCUUGGUUUUGUCGACACCGCACAAUACACCCGGGCCGGGCUCCCUCCCUGACCCGAGCCUGAGCCGAGGACACCUCGCUGGCGCAGUCACUUCCUCCCGGGUCAACGACCCACACCUGGUGGAACCAGUGCGGUCACUAAGGAGCUCUCCCUCCCCGCCGCACAGACAUGCAGGACCUUGACCCUCUCCAGGCUAGAAAGAGAUGCCAGCCUCGGCUUCUGUGUGUAAUUACAGAACAAUUAAUGAACUGUGAAGCUAGAAAGAACUUAGAGAUCAUAUCUAACCUCAGUUUAGCCCACUGAAGUUCAAGUAGUUGCUUCUGGUCAAAAGACAACAGAAAAGAUUAGUUACGUGGUGAAAUCUAGAACCAGAUCUCCCAGCUGUCGGUCUGAUCUGCAGAGAAACAAAGCACUUAAACCAGGAGGGACUUGACAAAUCACUCAGGGACACCUUUACAUUUGCACAAAUAGCCCGAUGGGAUGGAUUUUCAUUUCUGCACGGAGACCCCACUUUGAGCAAUGUUUAUGCUCCAGUUCAGACAUGAAACAAGCGGGGUGC